rnacentral:rRNA from 1 species
GAUGAACGCUGGCGGCGUGCCUAAUACAUGCAAGUCGAGCGAACCACUUCGGUGGUGAGCGGCGAACGGGUGAGUAACACGUAGGUUAUCUGCCCAUCAGACGGGGACAACGAUUGGAAACGAUCGCUAAUACCGGAUAGGACGAAAGUUUAAAGGUGCUUCGGCACCACUGAUGGAUGAGCCUGCGGCGCAUUAGCUAGUUGGUAGGGUAAAGGCCUACCAAGGCGACGAUGCGUAGCCGACCUGAGAGGGUGAACGGCCACACUGGGACUGAGACACGGCCCA